GGAUUAUUAAACAAGAAACUGCGAAAGACGCUUUCACAUAUAUUCUUCUUCUUUAAGAGGUAAAACUUCAGAUAAAUUCAUAGCACGGAUUUCAUUAUGAGGAAGACAUCGUCGAGAAGAGAGUCAUGUCUUCAAACCCCGAAGGGAAUGACAAUCAUACAUAGGAUGUGCCUGGGGGACGUACCACAUCGAUUUAGUUACGGUCUGCUAUGGAUCAACUUGUGCCUUAUCAUCUACAGCAUCUGGAUGGCUG